AUUAAGCGUUAUCAGCCAAUUCAGACAGGAGGAAGGUGGUCAUGGAAGUUGAAAUCCGCUAAGUAGUGUGUAACUACUCACCUGCUAAAUCAAAUAGCCUAAAAAAUGGAUUGUCCUUAA
rnacentral:ncRNA from 1 species